rnacentral:misc_RNA from 1 species
AGCGUUUUCUAGAUGCUUUGGCCUUUAUGCCUAAAUUUUGAAGAAUGCUGUGCCUGCUAAGAAAAAAUAGCGGGAGCUGGCAGGUAUUUCCGCCGAGAAAAUUUGGGGAGGCGAACGCGUGUUGGAUUUCUGUUUUUCUUGCGGGUUUUUUUAGGCUGCGCGCGCACCCGUUAACAAUUAUCAACUCUGAUUCCGGCCUUUGAAGCAACGCCAAGCCCCUUCAUCGUAGGCCGCCUUGCGUCUACCUUGGGGGCGCGCCGCGAAGCUUAUAUAGGGCGGGGGUCGCUGUAAAGAAAUGGUGGCGAAGAAAAGAUAGGCAGCAGCUUUGAAAAAAGGCGAAAAUUCGUGUUUUUGAUAAUGCUCUGUAUUUUUAAGGUGUGGGAGUCAGUGCGUGCCUGGAGGUGGUGCGGUCAAAUGUUUUUUGCCGCGACGUUCUGUUUGCUUCUUCCGGUGGGGUCGGGUCCUGGCUUGUGUUUUUUCAUGCGAUAUAGGGUUUUCUUGGCUGUUAAAAGAUUAUGCGGUGCGGAAAGAAGUGCGUAAAAUCACUGAAAGGAGCAAGCAAACGUUUUUGUGAUUUUUUCUGCCAGGCAUGUGCGGCCACUAGUCUCUCCUCUUCAAAAAAUGCUUUUUAGAAGGGGCAGACAGAGCUGGCAGACGCACCGGCUACAGUGCAGGUUUUUGCCAUGGUCUCUUCUCAGCUUUUUCCGGUCAACAGAGGGGGGUCAGGAGAAAGAUUACGAGGGUUGUGGUGGUUUUAGGGGCUGAUUCCGUGGCCGCCAGGAAUAUGGAAAGAGGUACCGCUGCACUGUUAAAGAGCUUGCGGGUAGUUUUGGGCAGCUCCCGCAGAUUUCUGCACAUGCUGUGAAUGGUGCAGCGGUGGGUUUACCUGUGACGCAGCGGGGUGAUCCUUUUUACGCUGAAUGUCACGCUUAUAACGUGAACAUGGUUAAAUGAUGCUAGAAGAAUCUGACAGUCACCCAUGCCGCAUGGAUCUGUGCAUCAGGAGGCCAUCCGAAGGGAAGGUAGGGGGGGGGGGUGGCUGCGGGUGAAGUACCUGAAAGCACAGCUUCGAGCUCGAAGAGGGUAGGCACGCCAAGGCUUGAAGUGCGCCAACACCUCUUUAAAGCCAAUAGCCGCGCAAAUUGUCUUCUUUGCCGCCGCAACGCUCAUCAGGUAGAGCAAAUCAUCGGAUGCACGCGCAGUCCCUUGCUGCUAUGAAUUGGUGUCUUUCACGUCGUUGGCGCUUCCGUCUUUGACUUCUUUCUGCCUCCCUUCUUCCGCAG